rnacentral:rRNA from 1 species
CAAUAGCGUAUAUUAAAGUUGUUGCGGUUAAAAAGCUCGUAGUUGGAGUUCUGCCAGGUGACGCUCGUCCGCCCAAGUGGUGUGUACAGGGCGUGCAUCUGGCCCUUUCAAGGGGAACGUGUCUGCACUUUACUGUGUGGUGCGAGAUCCUUGACUUUUACUUUGAGGAAAUCAGAGUGUUCCAAGCAGGCUCUCGUCGUGUAUAGCUCAGCAUGGAAUAAUAGCAUUGGACUUCGUUUCUAAGCUGUUGGUUGCAAGAAGCGAGGUAAUGAUGAAGAGGGAUAGUUGGGGGCAUUCGUAUUUAACUGUCAGAGGUGAAAUUCUUGGAUUUGUUAAAGACGGGCUACUGCGAAAGCAUCUGCCAUGGAUGUUUUCAUUGA